GACGAACGCUGGCGGCGUGCUUAACACAUGCAAGUCGAACGAAGAGCGGUGGAAGCUUGCUUCUAUCAAUCUUAGUGGCGAACGGGUGAGUAACGCGUAAUCAACCUGCCCUUCAGAGGGGGACAACAGUUGGAAACGACUGCUAAUACCGCAUACGAUCUAACCUCGGCAUCGAGGAAAGAUGAAAGGUGGCCUCUAUGUAUAAGCUAUCACUGAAGGAGGGGAUUGCGUCUGAUUAGCUAGUUGGAGGGGUAACGGCCCACCAAGGCGAUGAUCAGUAGCCGGUCUGAGAGGAUGAACGGCCACAUUGGGACUGAGACACGGCCCAGACUCCUACGGGAGGCAGCAGUGGGGAAUCUUCCGCAAUGGACGAAAGUCUGACGGAGCAACGCCGCGUGAGUGAUGACGGCCUUCGGGUUGUAAAGCUCUGUUAAUCGGGACGAAAGGCCUUCUUGCGAAUAGUGAGAAGGAUUGACGGUACCGGAAUAGAAAGCCACGGCUAACUACGUG
rnacentral:rRNA from 1 species